rnacentral:lncRNA from 1 species
CGUACUGGAUAAAGAACUUCAGCAGCCGAAAACGCAAGGGAGCGAACAUAUUACGCCCCGUCUGCCCAUGAGACUUUAAGAAGCACCCACUUGAUGAGGCUCCUUAACCAGGGAUUACAAAGCAUAUACGGAAGGAAGAAUCGGACAUCAGUGAUUCACCGGCCACUAGAUCGAUGAAGAAUCUCUCCAAAAUAUGCUCUUUGAUCAGUGAUUCACCGGCCAAAUCAAUUAUGAAAUGAACCCACAUAUAAAAGUGGGAUGGUCUGCUCAUUAUUUGUGUUCGUACGUUUAUUAAUUCUUGCAAUACAAAUAAGACCUCC